CAGCAGUGGUGGUAUGUGGGUCCCGGCUGGUUUACUGGCUGUGGGGAGAGCUUCCCUGUCCCCUCUGUCACUGUCCUUGGUGGACUAAAACGCAGGCACAUGAUCUUGGCCACCUGGAUGUUUCCACUCGGGGCUCAGCGGCAGUGACACCAAGGACCCGUGAAAACAAUAUGUAGCAGCAGCAACAGGAUUAAGAGUGGAGCAGAAGUAGCCUCAGGUCCCAGAGCAGCUCCCCAAGGGUGUACCUGAACCGGGAGGCAUCCAGGUGUGACCUCAGCUGGGUCCGGCAGUAGCCGAGCCUCCUGAACCCCCAUCCUGACUCUGAGUGGCUCCUUGAACUGCCUGAUAGCCUUCCCAGGCACCUGCUGUUCUGCUGAAGUUGACCAGAGUCCAUUUCUGUUGCUGGCAGUUAAGAACCCUGAUUCUCAAGCAGCAGCUGCAGGAUUCACACCAGGCCCUUUGCAUCAAAGCUGCACCCUUUCCUUUAGGAUCCUGCUUCUCAUGAUGGGGAGAGAGAGGCUUCCUCACUCCUCUGGUGUGCACACGCACGGGGGAGAAGCUUAUAGAAGGGGCGGGGGUGUUAAGGAGAGUUGUCUUUCAGCUUGACUUUGGAAAAGAGCCAGUGCUUUGAUCGGCCACAGGCCAGGAAGGCCCGAGCACUUAGCGGCCUCCGGAGAGCCACCUGCCGAUGCCCUCGAGACACCUUCAGCCAACCAAGGGCCCUCAGAGGCAGGAGGAAGCCUGUCACCUAAUAAUGCCCUGCACAGCCUCCACCCACUCAGAAGGACUGAGGCUUCCCAGGGAAGGGACAGAAAACUUGGGAAGCCAGGGAUUUCCAGCGCAGAGAGCUGGGGCUGUCUGUGGGGUGAGUAGGGGCCAGAAAGCAUAGCCAGCGGGACAGGAGUCCUUUGAAGAGACACCAUUGUUGCCAAGGCCACAGCGGUGCAGGUCACACCAGCCAGUUACAGGGAUCAGAGACCCAACCCCAGAAUCACAUUCCUCAUGACCCAUGCGUUCAGAAGAGCCUCUGAACUCCAAGGGGCAAAGCGGACAGCUGGCAGCCCUUUCCCUGGCCAGCAGAGGUGGCAGUUCUGGUAAAACUAAGAGUGGGGAGGAACAUGAACUUGCUUUACUGAUUCCCUUCCAUUAAUAAAACAGAGGACCCUACACGGGGCGCUUCAUAAAUGUGCUCUUGCUUAAUCACCAACAAAAAUCUGCAAGGAAAACGCAAUGAACAGCACAGGAGCCGACAGGAGACGUCCUCAACACAACCACCGGCGGAGGCACUGCGGACGAAAGUGUGCGGAGAUUGAAGCGGGUCCUCCACAAAAGGUGGGCGAACGGUACCAAGCAGGGGUUCUGUGUUACAGCUCCUCUCUGCUUAACACCCGAGAAAUUCUUUCUUUGACUAUGAGCACAGAGGUUGUUAAUAGCCUUCAAGGAAAACCAGUGUAGAGCCCAGAGGAGGAGCUCAAUAUAAAUCAGAUAAAUAAAAAAAUAUGAAAAAUGAAGCUCUAUUGAAUGAACAAAGCACAGGCACCGGCUGGGUGGGUUCUGGAGGUAGGGAUGAGCUCUGGCUGUGCCUUAGAUGGGCUGGACUCAUAACAUGAGAACUUCUCCACAGACAGGAAGGGCAUUCGGGUGUGGGGGCAGGCACAAAUGGAACACGCAUCCCUACAGGUGUGUAUCUUGUUGACCUAAGAGGAGGGCAGGAGGUGGGAAAAUCCUCGUUAAAGUCACCAAGCCUGAGGAUCACAGAGGAGUGCAAGUGGGUGCGGCCUGACCCAUUAUUAACUAUUACUUUUUUGAGACAUACUUCAUGUACCAUGCAAUUUACCCAUUUGAAGUAUA
rnacentral:lncRNA from 10 species